UACGUAGGAUCCAAGCGUUAUCCGGAAUUACUGGGCGUAAAGCGUGCGCAGACGGUUUGGUAGGUCUUAUGCGAAAUCCGGUGGCUCAACCACCUGGACUGUAUGAGAAACCCCCUGACUCGAGGUCGGUAGAGGCAAGUGGAAUUUCUGGUGUAGGGGUGACAUCCGUAGAUAUCAGAAGGAACACCAAUGGCGAAGGCAGCUUGCUGGGCCGUACCUGACGUUCAGGCACGAAAGCGUGGGGAGCGAACAGG
rnacentral:rRNA from 1 species